rnacentral:rRNA from 1 species
AUGAACGCUGGCGGCGUGCCUAAUACCUGCAAGUCGAGCGAACAGAUGAGGAGCUUGCUCCUCUGACGUUAGCGGCGGACGGGUGAGUAACACGUGGAUAACCUACCUAUAAGACUGGGAUAACUUCGGGAAACCGGAGCUAAUACCGGAUAAUAUAUUGAACCGCAUGGUUCAAUAGUGAAAGACGGUUUUGCUGUCACUUAUAGAUGGAUCCGCGCCGCAUUAGCUAGUUGGUAAGGUAACGGCUUACCAAGGCAACGAUGCGUAGCCGACCUGAGAGGGUGAUCGGCCACACGGGAACUGAGACACGGUCCAGACUCCUACGGGAGGCAGCAGUAGGGAAUCUUCCGCAAUGGGCGAAAGCCUGACGGAGCAACGCCGCGUGAGUGAUGAAGGUCUUCGGAUCGUAAAACUCUGUUAUUAGGGAAGAACAAAUGUGUAAGUAACUAUGCACGUCUUGACGGUACCUAAUCAGAAAGCCACGGCUAACUACGUG